GGUAAAAAGGAUGAAAAAAGGGGUACGGUCUUUCAUUUCCCGAAAAUGCCAUCCAUUUCCUGAUUUGCC